UACGUAGGGCGCAAGCGUUGUCCGGAAUUAUUGGGCGUAAAGAGCUCGUAGGCGGUCUGUUACGUCCGCUGUGAAAACCCAGGGCUUAACCCUGGGCUUGCAGUGGAUACGGGUAGACUAGAGGCAGGUAGGGGAGAAUGGAAUUCCCGGUGUAGCGGUGAAAUGCGCAGAUAUCGGGAGGAACACCGGUGGCGAAGGCGGCAUCCUGGACCAAUUCUGACGCUGAGGAGCGAAAGCCAGGGGAGCAAACGGG
rnacentral:rRNA from 1 species